ACUGCGUUAUGCUGCUAUCGCUGUAUGUUAUCUAAUACUACAGAGUACCUCAGAUAGAAAGACACAAGCAGCAGCGGCGGCAGCGGCAGCCUCCUAAAACAGCUGGGAUGUGUACUUCUACCAUUAUUAGUGCUUAUCCCCAUCUUUGGAUAUUCUUUAAAACAUUAGCGGUGGAAAGUCGGACAGAUCGAAGAGUGCAGGGUAAGAUCAGCUACUUCCAGGACAUCCAACCGGUCGCAGGCACAAAGAAAGUGAGGCUCCGUCAAGCGCGUUUUCAGGUAUACCAGGUGGGCGUCCGAAAGGCGACUUGAAGUGGAAGUGCUGUGCAGAGUGACGAGGACGAAGAUAGUCGGACCUUUCUAAUGAAGGAAGAGAAAACACCAAACAACUAAUGAGGUCACUUCCUUCAACAAUGAAGCCCCACCCAUUCCAGUCACAACCUUAUAUAGUCGAAGCCCUCAUCAGAAGUCGGCAUUCACUUUCAAAGCAGGUUAUGAGAAUGGAGUUCAGAAUCUCGUAAAUUUCUGGUGUGUUUUCAGUACCUGAUUAAGUGACCCCUGACUGUGCAAUAUGAUUGAACGAGGUGAGACGGUGAGAACUGAGAAGGUUGUAGGGCAGUAACUAAUGGAAGCACCGGCAAAAGAUGAAGGUCAUAGGUUUGGCCACUUGUUUCCUCUUCCACUCUUUUUCUUUCAUAUUUUCAGCAAUCUGAAAAGCUCUUCUCUGUCUCCGCUUGUCUAUUUUCAGCCAGCUGUUAAUCCCUACACAUUUGCAUUUCCUGAUGGUGUCUCCUUCAUUGUUUCUUAUUCUGAAGACAGCAGCAACACAUCACCAGCUGCCAGGGUGAACAGGGGGUCGUACAGUGGUUUCAUGUCCUUUUCCUGACUAACACCACAAGUGAGUUUAGGGUUGGUGGUAAUGCACUUGAGAUGGUCUAGAGGUUAAUAAUAGGCACUGCAGACAGAAUCUGAAAAACCACUCCUCGUCACAAGCUUUCAGAGUUAGAGAGGGGAUGGCCUUUGCAGACCUUCAGACGCUUGUUUUCCAUGUUAUGGACAGUCCUGUCUUUGUGACAGCAUAGGCCCAAGCCCCACUGUGUUUUAAGAUAAUGAACAAAUGAAUGAAUAUAGAGAUGCACUUGAGAGUCUGUAAUGGAGGCAACUACAUGUAAGACUUGAACAGCAUUAUAUUAUUUCAAGGUCAGAAAUUAGAAUAUGCACAGCAGGUAGCGUUGGUCAAACCUACACAACAUGGCAGGAGCUUAGCUCUUCUGGGGCCUCAUGCAUAACGCCAUGCAUAUAAUUCAUACUAAAACAUGGCAUACAGACAAAA